AUACAGUGUGAAUUAAGCUCUGUUGCAACAAUGGUGUCUGCUACUGCAUCUGCGAAGAAAACUUCUGCACCGAAGAAACCCAGAUCUCACCCUCCUUAUGUUGAGAUGAUAUCUGAAGCAAUAACUACGUUGAAGGAAAGAACUGGAUCGAGUCAAGUGGCGAUAGCCAAGUUUAUCGAGGAAAAGCAAAAGGGUUUGCCUCCAAACUUCAGGAAGCUUUUGUUGGUUCAAUUGAAGAAGCUUGUUGCUUCAGGAAAACUAACUAAAAUCAAGAGCUCUUUCAAGGUUUCCCCUGUUGUGAAACCUGCCGCCGUUGUGAAGCCAAAGAAGGCACCGGCUCCGGCAACAAAGAAGAAAUCCACUUCCUCAACCGCAACUGCUGCCGCAAAGCCGAAAGUGACAGCCCCAAAGAAGAAAGUUGUAGUGAAGAAAGCCAAACCUGCAGCAGCAGCAGCACCAGCAAAGAAAGCGAAGAAGCCAGCUACUGCUCCGGCUAAAGCGAAGAAAACCCCGGUGAAGAAAGCCGCAGUUGCUAAAGUGAAGAAGACUCCAGCGAAGAAAGUUGUGAAGAAGCCGAAAACCAUUAAGUCUCCGGCUAAGAAAGCGAAGAAAUGAAGAAACUAAUCUGAAUUUGGGUGUUUGAAUCUGUAAAUUACUUUUACAUUUCUCUAGCGAUGACAUCAAAUCCACCCUUUUUCUUCAUGGGUUUUUUUUUCUUCUUCUUCCCCCCUUUCUUUUGCAGUUUUUACUCGUUUCUCCAUUGUUAGGGUUUGUUUGUUUUUAGGAGUAUGCCUUGUGCUCUAUCGUUUUCAUUGAAUAGUAACAGAUUUGUAUGAAG
rnacentral:misc_RNA from 1 species